UGUCUCCAGUACACAACGCACCCGAUCUGCACCGCCCGCCGCCUCGUUUUCUCUUGCGUCUCGUGUUCUUUUCAUCUUCCGACACUGUCUCUACGUCCAUCCAUCUCGUCUCGACUCCGCCUCGCCCUCAGUUUGCCUCCCUCUUCUCUUUUUCCUCUUGGACCCCCAAUGUGCGUAUGUCAUCUAUGUGACUAUUGCAAUUCACAAAAAGUUU
ensembl:ncRNA K08B12.6 ncRNA